rnacentral:sRNA from 1 species
CUUUAUUGACUCCUGCUUUUCUAUUUUUUUUCCCCAGAUUGACCCCAAAGUUGCAUUUCCUCGUCGAGCGCAACCCAAGAGGGCUUCCCAGAGUUAGCAGUAUUUCCUGGGUUUGGAGGAAUUGCUGUUUCUUCCAUAAGUGUGAAUCUUCAAAUUUCCAGGUUAGUCAUUUGAUCACUCAGAGCUUGGAUCAGAUUACCCAAGAGGGAAGCUGGAAAAAUCCCUUACUUGGUAAAACCAUGGGUUUGACCUGUUUUUCUCUCCCCUUUGUUGUCCCCCUUCCUUAACUUUGUUUUUAAAUGAGAAAAGCAAUAUUUCACUUUAAUACACUCUGCAGUGAUGCAUUCAACUUGAAAACGAGACAGAAUAUUUCUCAAACUUGUCAAAGUGUGCAUUCCUUUCCCAACCCUCAACUCCACAUCUGGAAUGUUUGUAGGUGAAUUAACGUGAAACCACUUGGGGGAGAACAUCUUUCCAUGAAUUCUAGGGAUUUAAUAAUAACACCUUACUGUGUAUGACAUACUUCACUUUACGGAGGACUUGGCUGUUCAUUGUCUCCAUCUGAAUUCCAUCUCCUGGGGCAUUUGGCUGUUGUCCCUAACCUUCUCUCAGUCUCAGUGUGCUCAUCUGUAAAGUAGGAGUGAUGACAUAGCUCUCCCAGAAGGUUUUUGUGUAGAGUAAAAGAGCAUGGUCUGCGACAAAGGUCUUCGUCAUUGUCAUUAUUUUUCUUGUCGGUUUUCUCAUCAUUGUUCCGGUUGUUGUUUGCAAGUGGGACAGCCUGGGUUCGGAUGCUGGUGGUGCCACUCCUUAGCUGUGUCAAUUUGAACAGGUCGUUUAACUUCUUGAACCUUCGUUUUUCCAUCUCAUAGAGUUUUUCUGCAGAUUACGUAAAUUAAUAAAGGUAAAGGGACUGAAAAAAAAAAAGACGUUGCAUGGUAAUGCCAUAGAAGCGUUAACCUGCUAUCUUAUUUAUUUAUUUAUUUUUGAGAUGGGAUCUCACUGUGUUGCCCAGGCUGGUCUUAAACUCCUGGGCCAAGCUAUCCUCCCACCUCUGCCCUCUAGAGUGCUGGGAUUAUAGGCGUGAGCCACUGUGCCUGGCCAACCUGCUAUUUUUUUCUGCCAUUUUUAUUAAGUCUUCACAUCAAUCCUGUGAGAGGUUGAGUAAUAAUAAUGAUACUAGUUGAAUUUAUAUGCCAGGCACUAUUGCAGAGACUUUAUUAAUCCAUUUAAUCCUCAUGCAGCCCUAUGAGGAGAGUACUAGUAUGAGCUCAUUUUAUAAAUGAGGAAACGGAGGCACAGAUGGAUGUCCAGGAGCCAUACCCAGGCAACCUGGCUGUAGAACUGGGCCCUUCACCAAUGUGCCAUGCUGUGGGGGUACCUCAGGGGAUGGCCCCUCUGCUGUGCGACAGGAGAUGGGCUCGGAGAGGUCAGCGGGCUGUGCUGAGGGAACCAUAGCCAGAGGCCCAGUACUUUGAAGUUCUGCGUUCCUGGGCCUAGGUGAUUUGCCUUGCCCCAUCAUGUUAUACCAGUGUGUGACACUGUCUUGUAUCUUUCGAUCUGACCCCUCAGGCCAUCUUUUCAGAUGGUUCUGGAGUUACUCAACCCCAGUGAGGCAACAGAGUAAAUGCCAAGGUUGUAUGGUGGUUGGGAAUUGGGACAGGGUGGGGAGAAAGUGUCUUCCCUGUCUACGGUUAUUUUCCAAUAGAAUUUGAGCCUGGCCACCGGGAUUUCAGACUGGAGUUAGUGUUGGGGGCCAAAACCCAGCUGGUAGGAGCAUAGAACUUUAAGUCGACCCUGAUUUAUUUAUCAUUUAUCUCCCUUCAAUAAAACUUCUGUGUUUUUGUGUUCAGGUCACAGUGGCAGAGGGAACCCUGCCCCUCCUCGUGGGAUGGGCGAGGAGCUUGUAAAUGAUAUGUCAGUGUGUGUUUCAGUUAAAAUGAGUUUCUCUGCUUUCUGGCUGUCCCUCCUUGCUAACGCUCGCCAGAGAAAUAUUCCGUGGAGGUGUUAAAACAAGACUAGUGGAAAGAAAUGGUAACUUAAAAAGAAAGAAAAUCCAUGGCAGUGAAGAACAGAUUUCAUAUUAGUACUGUCAUAAUAUUCUCUAAUGUAUCAUAUAAAUAAAAAUCUGUUUAGACCAGAAUUUUAAUAAGUCACCAAAGGAAGGUUUUGAAUCCUACAGUUUAUGUAUCCCCCUUUGCGAUGUAAAUGUUCACAUCUCAAGUGAAGUAGAGUGGGGAGACUCUUCGGAGACUAGAGGCUGUUAAUUAGUGAAGUAUAUUUUGAUCAGGGCAAGAAGACUGGUUCAUUCUAUAUCUUCGUAUUUCUCUGGAUGAUUAUUUCAUUUUGUAAAAUAUGUAAGAGUUCCCCCCCUCAAGCCCCUUAUCUUUUUAAAAAUUAAAAUGGUCAUGCUCUUCUAAAAAGAUGACUUAAUUUGAAGGCUUUGGAGACAUGAGGAUGAUGGGGAUCCAUCACUCCCUGUUCUUUGCUCCCUUUGGACUGGAGUGUUGGCUGUCUGGAAGAGUUUUGCUUGAGCUCGUGGGUUAUUUUCUUCUAUGUGGAGGAACCAAGAGACUCUUUAGCAUCUUUCAGCAAGAGCGAGGUCUGGGUGUACUCACCAUCUGUCUUAAUUAUCCUUGUGUAUAAGAAAACAUUCCCAUCUUUUCCCAAUUGCCAUUUCCUUCCUUAACUUUUAGAGGCCAGAACCUCAUCUGUUGAUGCAGGGAGAUCUCACUUCUUUAACCUAUUUCUAGUUGCCUUCAGUCACAGCGGGGUGGCCAGGGGCGAGUCACUUAAGCCUCCCCAAGGCUCAGUUUCCUCCUUUGUAAAAGAGGGAGAAUUAUAGUACUCACUGCCUGCAGUUGUUUGGAGGAUAAAUGCAAAAUUCUUCACUGGGAGUCUGGCAUAAAAUAGCACCCCGCAAAUGUCUGUUGAUCUUAUUAUUAUAGAAUUAUUAUUUUUAUUAUUAUUAUUUUUAAGACGGAGCCUCACUCUGUCGCCCAGGCUGGAGUGCAGUGGUGAGAUCUUGGCUCACUGCAACCUCCGCCUCCCGGGUUCAAGCAGUUCUCCCGCCUCAGCCUCCCGAGUAGCUGGGAUUACAGGCACCUGCCAUCAUGCCUGGCUAAUUUUUGUAUUUUUGUAGAAAUGGGGUUUCACCAUGUUGGCCAGGCUAGUCUUGAACUCCUGACCUCAGGUGAUCCACCUGCCUUGGCCUCCCAAAGUGCUGGGAUUACAGGCAUGAGCCACCGCGCCCGACCAGAUAAUUAUUUUAAUAGAAUAAAAAAAAGCACAAUGGUGAAAUGACUGAAGGAAAAUCUUAAUUGGAAUGUAAGCUCCCUGAGGGCAGGGAACUGUUGGUGGCUGCUGUUUGGUAACUAAAUGAACGAACUGAAUCCAGCCUGCUUUUUCCACCGUGGAGGUGGCUGCUACCCAGUAAAGUUACGUUGGUUGCUUCACAUCCACACUUAGGUUGUAGCAGGGCUGAGCUAGCAGUCAGGUUUUCCUGUUUCUGUCUUGUCCUCUGACGUGGCUUCAGGGCCCUGGAAGGUUCUCUGCUAAGCACGCAUCCAGAUGGGUGCAAUGGCAGCCCGAGCGUGUACACGCACACCUCCUGUUCUGGGGGAGUGGUUUCUUGGCAGCUUCUCAAGGGCGAAGGGUGAGUUUUCGGCAUCUGGCCUUCCCUUGCUGCUGUGGGUCGGGUCAUUCUAGCAUCUUGCCAUCUUGGAUGAUCUGCAGCUGUCAUCUCGGCAGCCACCGUGAACCGGCCUGCCAGUGGGUUUUCUCAUUCCCAGCGAGGAUGUGGUGGUGUGUCUGCAGCCCUUUUCCACAGCAGCGAGGACCUGGGAGGAUUAGUGGCUUAGCUUCUUUCUUGUCGGUGAGCACCGCUCCUUCCUAUGUUCCAAGUCAGUAGCAGGUGUCAGCUCAAGGAGGAGGGGCACCUUGUCCUACAAAUGUCCUUUCCCUGGAUUUUGCUGUUCCUCACAUGCUUUCGUUUCAUUGUUGAGGUCAGUCUCCUAGGACUACGAAGCUCCUGUGUUCUUUGUCAGAUGAUUUUUGGCAGACAGGUGAGCCUCCUCUGCUGCCCGGGAAGGGAGGAGAAGGCAGUCUCGGAGGAACCAGCUGACCAUCUCAGGUGCCCCUUGGGGCAGCGUCCAUUCUUUGUGUCCUAUUUUGUAUUUUUAAACCCGGACAAUCUUUGGCUGAAAACCCCGAGAACACACAGGGGAGAUAUAGUUCAUCAUCUCUCUCUUCCCGUUUGAUCUAGUGUGUUCAUUUAACAAGAGCUGGGUUAAUCCUUGUUCAUUGCCAACUGUAUGCGUGCACCCACUUUUGGAGGGAUUCAGGAAACACUCAGUGCUUCCUGAUGUGCACGGAACACAGUCUCGACGUCUUAGCUUGGUGCUUAAUUAAGGUCCUUCAAAAUCUGUACCGGGGUCUUUUCCACCUUAUCUCUCAAUUCUUCUAGUUUUUGCUGCCUUGAAACUGAAUGCUCACCCUUCUCUGAGAAACCUGUCCUUUUGCAGAUUUCCCUCUCUGCACUGCCCUUCCCUUCUCUGUACACAAUAGACCCUCUUUGAAAGCCCAGCUUCAUCAUUAUCUUUUCCACGAAGCUGUCCCUGCCCCUUUGUGGAAACAGUCAUACUUCUUUGGAUUUCCACAGCACUUACCUUUUCUUUGGUUAAGCCCCUUCCAACAAUAAUAAAUUAGCAAAAACUUGUGGAGCACAUACAUCUGUUGCAUGUUGUGCUAGACAUUCACUCAUUCAUUUAUUCACCAAACAAGCACCGACCGUUUGCCAGAUACUGUGCAAGAUUCGGGGGAUAGUGUGGAGAAUAUGACAAAGUUCCUGCCGUCACCAAACUUUUGCUCUAGUGGGGCAAAUAAGCAGUGAGCAAACAGAUAAGUAUAUAACAUGCUCUCAGGUGUGAUCACCAAAGCCAGGGAGGAGCGAUGGCGGGAGUGGGGUGGACCAUAUCUUUGGUACAGUCAGUUGCCACUUUCAGUAGUUCAGAAAUUAUUUACCAAGUUUCUGCUCAGCACCGGGGAUUGUGUUAGGUACUUUGUUCUGAGUUUCAUGGUAUUUAGGUUCAUGCCUUAUCUUCUCCAUUGGACACAAGCAUAUUUUACUAAUAAUUAAAAAAAAAACCCAAA